rnacentral:rRNA from 1 species
CAGCCGCCGCGGUAAUACCAGCAGCCCAAGUGGUGGUCGCGUUUAUUGGGCCUAAAGCGCUCGUAGCUUGGCCGGUAAGUUCCCCGUGAAAUCGGGUCGCCCAACGAUUCGGCUUGCGGGGAAUACUGUCGGUCUUGGGGCCGGGAGACGCCGAGGGUACUCCGGGGGUAGCGGUGAAAUGCUGUAAUCCUCGGGGGACUACCAGUGGCGAAGGCGCUCGGCGAUAACGGGCCUGACGGUGAGGGGCGAAAGCUGAGGGCGCGAACGGGAUUAGAUACCCCGGUAGUCCCAGCCGUAAAGGAUGCGGGCAAGGUGCUCGUCGCUCUUCGAGGGCGUCGGGUGCCGUAGAGAAGUCGUUAAGCCCGCCGCCUGGGAAGUACGGUCGCAAGGCUGAAACUUAAAGGAAUUGGCGGGGGAGCAC